rfam:Frankia sp. ETN1h contig_21, whole genome shotgun sequence.
GCCGCUCUAGCCCAACGGGCAGAGGCACCGCGCCGAGAUCGCGGCCAGUGGAGGUUCGACUCCUCCGAGCGGCA